rnacentral:rRNA from 1 species
UGGGGAAUAUUGGACAAUGGGCGCAAGCCUGAUCCAGCCAUGCCGCAUGGAUGAUGAAGGCCUUAGGGUUGUAAAGUCCUUUUAACGGGGAAGAUAAUGACGGUACCCGCAGAAUAAGCCCCGGCUAACUUCGUGCCAGCAGCCGCGGUAAGACGAAGGGGGCUAGCGUUGUUCGGAAUUACUGGGCGUAAAGCGAGUGUAGGUGGUUGUCAUAGUCAGGUGUGAAAGCCUUGAGCUCAACUCAAGAAAUGCACUUGAUACUAGGCGACUAGAGGACCGGAGAGGAUAGUGGAAUUCCCAGUGUAGUGGUGAAAUACGUAGAGAUUGGGAAGAACACCAGUGGCGAAGGCGGCUAUCUGGACGGUUUCUGACACUAAGACUCGAAAGCGUGGGGAGCAAACAGGAUUAGAUACCCUGGUAGUCCACGCCGUAAACGAUGGGUGCUAGACGUUGGCGGGCUUGCUCGUCAGUGUCGCAGCUAACGCGUUAAGCACCCCGCCUGGGGAGUACGGCCGCAAGGUUG